UAUCCCUGGUCCCUUUGUAUUCGGACGGAGAAAUCUUUCGCCUUUUACUAAAGAUUUCCGUGCAGGGGGAUGCUUAUGGGUUUACCAUAAUUUUUGGAAGCGAUUCUUUUUUGAUCGCG
rnacentral:snRNA from 1 species